rnacentral:rRNA from 1 species
AGCGGCGGACGGGUGAGUAACGCGUGGGUAACCUGCCUCAUACAGGGGGAUAACAGUUGGAAACGGCUGCUAAUACCGCAUAAGCGCACAGUACCGCAUGGUACCGUGUGAAAAACUCCGGUGGUAUGAGAUGGACCCGCGUCUGAUUAGCUAGUUGGUGGGGUAACGGCCUACCAAGGCGACGAUCAGUAGCCGACCUGAGAGGGUGACCGGCCGCAUUGGGACUGAGACACGGCCCAA